rnacentral:lncRNA from 1 species
CUUAUAAUUCGCUUAAGCUCAUUUAUAAUUCGUCUGAUGUAUAAUUGUAUAAUCGUUCGGUAAAGUAAAACUAUCAAUUUUGUACUAACAGUAAACAGCAUUCAAUUUCUUACUAUCCUUAUGAUGUAUAGCUUGAAGGAUAUGAUUAUUUUUUUACGAAAAAUUGAUACAUAAUAUCGUUGAUGUUCAGAACAUAUGUUUGACCUUGAACGAUGUUGUAUACAAAACUUUAAGAUAAGUGUGCUUAAAAUCUUGUAGUUUAAAACAUAUAAAACUAAAUUUAGGACACUUUGAUGUUAAAAUUUGGCCAAACAUAUGUCUUACGCACAUAAUGUGUGUAUUUUGUAACGUUGUAAGACUUAGAUUUAUAUCACGUCAUCGAGAUAAUUACGGAAGAAAAAGUCGAAAUACUUUGAAGUGGUUAGAUUUUUUCAGCCUUUCAUAUUUUUUUUUAAUUCCGGCGUGUUCUUAAGUACAUUUUCCGCUCUGUAAGAAUGUUGGCACAUGCACAUCUUUCCGGUUGCAGGCUGACAAAACGCUUGACGAAAGAAUUGAUAAAUUAUAGAACAAAAAGGAUCUACACAAAAUAAUCCGUUUUUCUCUUUUCCAUUUUUAUUGGUUCAACUGGACCAACGAGUCAGUAUAAGCUUUUGUCUUCACUUGGCGUCAGUCAUCUGUUUACUUUAACAAACAUAUCAAGUUCUCCUCUGACACUACGUACUUGGCCAAAUUUAACCAAACUUGAACACAAUCAUCAUUGGAGUAUCUCGUUUAAAAAUGUGUGCGAUGACCCUGUCUGCCAACAACAUGACUUAUUGACCAACAUGACCGACAUGGUUUAAAAUGAAGAUAUAGGACUGGAGUACAAUGAAAGUUUAGUCUAUUAUCUUGAAAUAACUAUAGAUAGAGAAAAUCUAAUAAGGCACACAUGAUCAGAAUGGUGAGAUCUACCUACUAUCAUUAUUCAUAAAACCUGUCAGAGGACUUCUUUAUAAGUAGUGUUGCUUAAACGAUUGCAGUUUUUCCUAUUAUCCUGGAAACUACAAUAGAUAGACAAAAAUUGCAAAAAAUAUCAGCAAGAUAAGAUCUUAAAAAAAGUCAGCAUAGAUUAAAUUGUAACGGUUGUCAUCGUAUAUAUAUACAUAAGUCUUCAAUGAAGAUGUUUCUGUAUUUUAGGCUAAACGUUUUUGCAAAAAUCCAGGUGUUGUUAACAAUGUUAACGGACCCCCGAUUGCCCCCGCCCCCUCAUUUAAACAAUAUAGAAAAACGAUUAACAUGAAACAUUAUCAGCAAUACAAGUUCAACAAAAAGAGGAUCUAAGUCAUGAAUCAUAUUUUGGUCCACAAUGCUGCAGAGAGUCUAAUGUUGAGGAUGCACAUAUACCUAGGUGAGCGAAACGUGCUUUACCAUGGAUUGCUAUUAGUUUUAUAGUGAUAAUACAAUGAAUACAUUCGAUCAGUAUGAUUUCUCGUUUUAGAUAUACCACAAGCAAAGUAGAAUAAAACUUGUUCUUGAGGGAAAAGGAAUAAAAUACGAAGAAGUAGAUCUAUGUAAGGACAAGGAAAAACGAGAUUACAUGAGAGAAAAGGCGGGAAUUCCAGACUUACUCCCACCACAAAUCUUUAACGGAGACACAUACUGUGGGG